UAUUGGGCGUAAAGGGCUCGCAGGCGGUUUCUUAAGUCUGAUGUGAAAGCCCCCGGCUCAACCGGGGAGGGUCAUUGGAAACUGGGAAACUUGAGUGCAGAAGAGGAGAGUGGAAUUCCACGUGUAGCGGUGAAAUGCGUAGAGAUGUGGAGGAACACCAGUGGCGAAGGCGACUCUCUGGUCUGUAACUGACGCUGAGGAGCGAAAGCGUGGGGAGCGAACAGGAUUAGAUACCCUGGUAGUCCACGCCGUAAACGAUGAGUGCUAAGUGUUAGGGGGUUUCCGCCCCUUAGUGCUGCAGCUAACGCAUUAAGCACUCCGCCUGGGGAGUACGGUCGCAAGACUGAAACUCAAAGGAAUUGACGGGGGCCCGCACAAGCGGUGGAGCAUGUGGUUUAAUUCGAAGCAACGCGAAGAACCUUACCAGGUCUUGACAUCCUCUGACAACCCUAGAGAUAGGGCUUUCCCUUCGGGGACAGAGUGACAGGUGGUGCAUGGUUGUCGUCAGCUCGUGUCGUGAGAUGUUGGGUUAAGUCCCGCAACGAGCGCAACCCUUGAUCUUAGUUGCCAGCAUUCAGUUGGGCACUCUAAGGUGACUGCCGGUGACAAACCGGAGGAAGGUGGGGAUGACGUCAAAUCAUCAUGCCCCUUAUGACCUGGGCUACACACGUGCUACAAUGGACAGAACAAAGGGCUGCAAGACCGCAAGGUUUAGCCAAUCCCAUAAAUCUGUUCUCAG
rnacentral:rRNA from 1 species